UUCCUCACGCCGGGAAAUGGCCAUCGAGACGCUGCCUUGCCCUCUCCCGGCCCCAGGGGCAUGGCCAGACUAGAGGAGGUCGUGCGAAUGUGUUUAAUGCCUCAGAGAAAGGGCUAACCCGGCGCUCCUCCGCCCCCUUUCAUCCCCACAGUGGGGAAGGCCGGCAGCCAUGUUUCCCAACAAAAUGGCGACACGUGUCGCCAACGAGAAAUUGGGGUGGGUCCGAAAGCUCUAGAACGUGGUGUCUGAUCAUUCUCAAUCCUUCCCCACGUCCGGUCAGGAGGAAAUGGCAGGCCGCUUUUGGGAGUUUGUGGGCAGAAAUCUACGUCCUCCGCCUCCUUUGUUGGGCGUGUGAAUAACUAGAAGGCAGGCCUAACGUUGAGUUUUUUUUUUUUUUUUUUUUUUUCCCUAAAUUGGAUAACGGCCGGCAGGUGUGUUUGCAGCACCUAGCCAAGUACCCAGGCAUCUGUUUUUCUAGACCUUGAACAGGUUGUGGUGUUAAGUGAUUAAAAAUUUUAUAGUUAAGCCAUUAGAAUGCCAGUGACUCAUUCCACUGUCCAGUGACCCGCAAGUUCGCAGUUAUGUCCACUUUGAUAGUCAAGAGGAACCGAUGGUGAUUGUAGAGUAAGACAAACGCAGAGAGAUUAUGGCGAAUGGAAUCCAUAUCCUUCUGAUUUCCUUACUGACCCACAUUCCAUGUUCGGAGGAGCCACCCAUGAAGCUACUGAGAUAAUGGAAAAAUGGAACGGAGAGUCCCCUAUAUCUCACCCAUGAUUCUUCCCAAAUUCAAGUGACUACAGGUGACAGGUAGGAGACAUGGUCUGGUAACACCAUGCUUCAGAAUGUGACUGUGGAGCUAGCCUGCUUGACCUUGGGACUGGAGAACAGAGGAACAGAAUUCAAUUUCCAGCAUCCAUAACUAGUGGCUCCAUGGAAUUCAAUGCCUUUUCUUAGCCUCCUCAAGUACCUACACAUAUUUGGUUUACACACACACACACACACACACACACACACACACACAGAG